AAGGCUUUAAGUUAAUUCAAACUAAUGGCCUUCAAAGCUAAUAAUAAAGAUCACAAUCUUUAAGCCUUA
rnacentral:tRNA from 1 species